rnacentral:rRNA from 1 species
CAGCAGUGGGGAAUUUUGGACAAUGGGCGCAAGCCUGAUCCAGCCAUGCCGCGUGCAGGAUGAAGGCCUUCGGGUUGUAAACUGCUUUUGUACGGAACGAAAAGACUCCUUCUAAUAAAGGGGGUCCAUGACGGUACCGUAAGAAUAAGCACCGGCUAACUACGUGCCAGCAGCCGCGGUAAUACGUAGGGUGCGAGCGUUAAUCGGAAUUACUGGGCGUAAAGCGUGCGCAGGCGGUUAUAUAAGACAGAUGUGAAAUCCCCGGGCUCAACCUGGGAACUGCAUUUGUGACUGUAUAGCUAGAGUACGGUAGAGGGGGAUGGAAUUCCGCGUGUAGCAGUGAAAUGCGUAGAUAUGCGGAGGAACACCGAUGGCGAAGGCAAUCCCCUGGACCUGUACUGACGCUCAUGCACGAAAGCGUGGGGAGCAAACAGGAUUAGAUACCCUGGUAGUCCACGCCCUAAACGAUGUCAACUGGUUGUUGGG